rnacentral:lncRNA from 1 species
GCGCCGCGGCCUCUCUAGGAGCCGCUGGAGGGGCCCGGCCACGGGGUGGGUGAGGACCGGACGCCCCGGAGCCCGCGGGGCUACCGGGGCAGUGUGUGUGCCUAUGUUCUAGGUCUCCGUCCCUCCAGAGGCCCGUCUGUCCAUCUCCCGGGCCCCGCGUCGUCGGUGCGUGUGGCCAAGGGCGAGGCGACAAGCGAGACCAAGGUCAGCGAGAAGGAGCGACGCUUCCCGGCGCCAGCGGGGGCGGUGUCUCGCUCCCUCCCCUCCCGGGCCUCCGGGUCAGCUCCGGCAGCGCCUCGGGAACCGGGACGGACUCCCCUUGGCCUCGCCGAGGUCCUUGAGCCUGGGACCCCCUCCAGGAACUCCGCUCCCCGGCACCUGCGCGCGCCCGCUCCCGUUCCUCCGGCCCCCACCCAGCUCGGCUCCCCUGAUCCUCCUCCUCCCUCCUCCCUCCUCGAGGGCUAGGAUAGUUGCCAAGGAGACAGCCCCGCCCCGGCUCCCAGAGGCACAGCUUCUCCGCCCCAGGAAGCCCGGCGGUUGGCCGAUGGGGCUCGUGCUCUAGCCGCCCCGCCUCCUCCAACCCCGCGGACGGCUGGGCGUUAAUGGUCGCCAGGGAACGCCAGGCGCCUUCCUGAUUGGCCGGGAGUGCUGUGGUCGGGUCCGCCUCCCCUGUCGGCCAGAAGCGCCUUCAGGAGGUAGUGGGAGGGAGGUGCCAGGCAUCUCCCCUCCAGCCCGGCCUGUGCCAUCAAAACUUUUCCCGCCCCCACUUAGCCUCCAUUAUGUUUUAUGAAAGCCAGAAGAUCUGAGGACAGACACCCUUCCUCCUCGUCAGCCUCACACCCCUUGCCUCUCCCCUCCACCUUCCCCAGCGCCUGAGUUUAACUCAAUCCCUGGCAGCCUUAGUCCCUGUUGUUAGAUUUCCUCACAGGGAGGCAGGAUUCCUUCCAGGUGAGGGUGAUACAAAGGAGAAUUGGACUGAGAGAACCAUCUGGCCUUCGAGGCAUCUAACAACUCUCCAGUCUUGUCUGACUCGAAUGGAGUCUUGCAGAGGAAGGGAACCUGAGAAACACUGCCUCGGGCGCAGCUUUGAAUUGAGGAAGUGAGCCUGGACAGACAACUUAAUAUCAUCCAGUUCUUGUCUUUUUUUUCUACGCUUCGUGCUGAAACAAGUUUGGCAGCGUUCUUGACAGUUAACGAGCCCGAUGCCCCUGUGUGAGCAGGAGCCAUGGAUCGUGUUUUCUUGUCGCCUACCCAGACAAAUGAAGGGAAGAGAAUGUUUGGGAGGAAGGAUGGCCUCUCCUUCCUGAAAAGAGGUGAGAACAAGAACUUGAAGAAUGCCAAGUGGUAAAAAGUGGAGAGAAACUAUCUAAAUAAAGGCUUACAGGUGGGGCGCACUGGCUCAUGUCUGCUCCCAAAAUGCUGGGAUUACAGGUGUGAGCCACCACGCCCGGCCGAGAAUAGCUACAUUUUUAAAAGAUACUUAGCCUGGCCCUACCUCUAGGUGGAAAUAUCUGUGCCACCAACUGAGGAGCUGAGAAUGGGGUGGGGCUAAGGCUUAAGGGUUUCACGACACUAAAAAAAAUUGACGAAAUGCUGGAAGGUUGGGUCAUGAGGGCAGGAAGCAGAGGAGUUGGAGCCUGGUUUCUGGGCCAUAAGUAAACUUUACAAACUUCAAAGCUCUCAGAGACCUCUAGGUAAUAAUCACGGCAUCUUUAAUUGGCAAACUCAGGGCCAAGAUCUAUCUGGCUGUCAGUCUGGGCUGAGAACUGGUGUUGCAAGCUGGGCUUUCCCCAGGCUGUGUUGAGGGUUAGGGGAGGGGACUGAGAUGUACACUGGAAAUUAAAACCUGGUACAAAGGUAUCUCCUACUGCCAAGGUUCCUCUUCUCACCCCAUGUGCCCCUGUGAUAAAGUGACACACGAGUCAACCCGCCCCAGAAAAGCUGAGGGAGAGAGAGACCACGGUGGGAUUGGAUUGGAGAUG